GGCGAACGGGUUGAGUCAUUGCAUCGGAACGUGUCCCGUAGUGGGGGAUAACCCGGCGAAAGCCGGACUAAUAACGUAUAUGCUCUACGGAGGAAAGUGGGGGACCUGCAAGGCUCACGCGUAUGGUGUAGCGGCCGAUGUCCGAUUAGCUUGUUGGUGGGGUAAGUGGCCUACCAAGGCGACGGAUCGGUAGCUGGUCUGAGAGGAUGAUCAGCGAGAACUGGGCCUUGAGCCCAGGCCCAAACACCCUUAAAGGGAGGCGUGGGAUUGGGCCGAUUGGGGGCAACCCUGAUCUAGGCUUGCCAGUGUACGGGAAGAAGGCCUUCGGGUUGUAACCCGCUUUUAGGCUGGGAAGCAACAGGCGCUGGGUCGAAUACCCCGCGUUGUUGACGGUACCGGCGGAAUAAGCACCGUGCUUACUUCGUGCCAGCCGCCGCGG
rnacentral:rRNA from 1 species